AAGUCGUAACAAGGUUUCCGUAGGUGAACCUGCGGAAGGAUCAUUAACGAAUAACUAUGGUGUCUUGGUUGUAGCUGGCUCCUCAGAGCAAUGUGCACGCCCGCCAUUUUUAUCUUUCCACCUGUGCACCGACUGUAGGUCUGGAUGACUCUCGCACUCCGGUGCGGAUGCGAGGAUUGCUCUCGGGCUCUCCUCGAAUUUCCAGGCUCUACGUCUUUUUACACACCCCAAACGUAUGAUACAGAAUGUAGUCAAUGGGCUUGAUCGCCUAUAAAACACUAUACAACUUUCAGCAACGGAUCUCUUGGCUCUC
rnacentral:misc_RNA from 1 species